rnacentral:rRNA from 1 species
GACGAACCGUGCGAACGUUGUUCGGAAUCACUGGGCUUAAAGGGUGCGUAGGCGGCGCAGAAAGUUGGGUGUGAAAUCCCUCGGCUCAACCGAGGAACUGCGCCCAAAACUACUGUGCUUGAGGAAGAUAGAGGUAAGCGGAACUUACGGUGGAGCGGUGAAAUGCGUUGAUAUCGUAAGGAACACCUGUGGCGAAAGCGGCUUACUGGGUCUUUUCUGACGCUGAUGCACGAAAGCCAGGGGAGCAAACGGG